rnacentral:lncRNA from 1 species
AUGCCAUUACAUGAAAUAAUAGGUAGGAAAUGUAAUCGAAAUCACUGGGAACAGUUGGCCGUCCUUAGAAUAAAAAAAAAAAAUGCGAUCGCUGACGAUUUGGAAAUGUUUCUGUUCAGUGCAACAAUUACAGUUGCACCUGGAUUGCCCAGUCCUGCCCUUGCACUUGGGAGCCAUUAAUCACCACAAAGUGGAAGAAUUAUUAAGUUAAACCAGAGUUUGAGCCAAGAAAACCUCUGAACAAUGUUCAUCUUCUGGGAAAGUUGUUCACAUAGUCAGGCUUAACCGUGUUGCUGCCAGUGACUUUUUCCCAUGCCGUAGUGGGCAUCUGUAUUAGCAUUAUCUUUAUUGGUUAAAAAACAUACAGUUUUGAGCAUGCACCACUUUAUAUGAGAUCUGCAGAUCAGGACAAUUGGGGGAAUUGGGGAGAUGUAGAAUCAGAAAAAAAUAAGAUGAGAUCACGGCAGGGUAGAAAGUUCAGCAGCAGCCUUUUGUGGUAAUUUCUUUCUCCAGGAUCUGUUGUUUAUGGGCUUAGAAACACAGCUUAGCUGUAGAAGCAACAGAAAGCAUGAAAUAGGGUGUCCAUCUUAAAUGUGUUCCUACAACUUUUUUCAUUAAAACUUUGAGGGCCCAAUUUUAAUUUGUGGAAUAUUCCCGUUAAUAAUGAGAUCUAAUUAAGACAUCCAUUAAAAGCCCGUUAAAGUUAAUUUAAUGUAAAAAUUCCAAUAGAACUGUAUUAGAUUUUCUCCAUUAAAUUAACGUUAUGGAUUUUUAACGGAUGUCUUAAUUAUACGUUAUUAUUAACGGGAAUACUGUAUUACACAGAUUAAAAUCAGGUCCUAAGUCAACUUGGAAAAGCUAAGAGCAUGCUUUACUAUUACAACCUUUGUAUAUCUAGUGCAUUGUUUGGAAAUGCAGAGAUAGAUCUGUUUAGCUGUGCAUUUUCUAUACGACUGAAAGCAACCUAUAAUAGAUAAAUCUGUUAUUGCAUUUAAACAAUGAACUUCCUCAUUCUCAAAGGACAAUAAGUCUAGCUUGUGUUGUAAACUGCUGCUCAGCUACAGGUGAAAUAUUUAAACUAUUCUAGGCACAGCACAGGAACUAGAUGAUUCUGAAACACACGAGUCUCUUUUGUUGUUGCUUUAAUUACCAAGGAAAUCUCUGUCAAAUCUUUUAAUACCAACAAAAUGAAGCCAAAUAUCUCCAGAUAUAUCCUCUCGCCAUUUCUCAUGGCACCUGCCUGUUGGAAUUGUUUUGGGAAUUUUGACAUGAUCCCUAAAUUCAACAUUGGAAUUUAAAAAAAAAAAACUUCUUAUUUACCUCCUAGAGAAAGUGUUGCCCUUAUGCCACAUAUAAUAGCAAAUUGCUUUUUUUAUGGCAUGCAUAACCUAGAUGGGAAAAAAUAUGGCGCUUCG